GUGGGGAAUUUUGGACAAUGGGCGCAAGCCUGAUCCAGCAAUGCCGCGUGCAGGAAGAAGGCCUUCGGGUUGUAAACUGCUUUUGUACGGAACGAAACGGUCCUGGCUAAUAUCCGGGGCUAAUGACGGUACCGUAAGAAUAAGCACCGGCUAACUACGUGCCAGCAGCCGCGGUAAUACGUAGGGUGCGAGCGUUAAUCGGAAUUACUGGGCGUAAAGCGUGCGCAGGCGGUGCUGUAAGACAGGAGUGAAAUCCCCGGGCUCAACCUGGGAAUUGCGCUUGUGACUGCAGUGCUGGAGUGCGGCAGAGGGGGAUGGAAGUCCGCGUGUAGCAGUGAAAUGCGUAGAUAUGCGGAGGAACACCGAUGGCGAAGGCAAUCCCCUGGGCCUGCACUGACGCUCAUGCACGAAAGCGUGGGGAGCAAACAGGAUUAGAAACCCCAGUAGUCC
rnacentral:rRNA from 1 species